rnacentral:rRNA from 2 species
GGACAUCAGGAGGUUAGUGCAAUGGCAUAAGCCAGCUUGACUGCGAGCGUGACGGCGCGAGCAGGUGCGAAAGCAGGUCAUAGUGAUCCGGUGGUUCUGAAUGGAAGGGCCAUCGCUCAACGGAUAAAAGGUACUCCGGGGAUAACAGGCUGAUACCGCCCAAGAGUUCAUAUCGACGGCGGUGUUUGGCACCUCGAUGUCGGCUCAUCACAUCCUGGGGCUGAAGUAGGUCCCAAGGGUAUGGCUGUUCGCCAUUUAAAGUGGUACGCGAGCUGGGUUUAGAACGUCGUGAGACAGUUCGGUCCCUAUCUGCCGUGGGCGCUGGAGAACUGAGGGGGGCUGCUCCUAGUACGAGAGGACCGGAGUGGACGCAUCACUGGUGUUCGGGUUGUCAUGCCAAUGGCACUGCCCGGUAGCUAAAUGCGGAAGAGAUAAGUGCUGAAAGCAUCUAAGCACGAAACUUGCCCCGA